CACGUAGGGGACGAGCGUUGUCCGGAUUCAUUGGCGUAAAGCGCGCGUAGGCGGCUCGGAAAGUCGGUCGUGAAAUGCCGGGGCUCAACCCCGGGACUGCGUCCGAUACUCCCGAGCUGGAGGCAGGUAGGGGAGAUCGGAAUUCCUGGUCGUAGCGGUGAAAUGCGCAGAUAUCAGGAGGAACACCGGUGGCGAAGGCAGCUCGCUGGGACGGUACUGACGCGUGAGACGCGAAAGCGUGGGGAGCAAACAGG
rnacentral:rRNA from 1 species